rnacentral:lncRNA from 1 species
GAGAUGUUGAUGGAUUAUCGGUGAUGGUUUUUUGUUUCUUGUAGCUUGGAAUUCGGACACUGUUGGAGUCUGGCAGAUAUGACACUCAUGACAAUUUCACAGUGGUCAUCCAGCCUUUCCUCCAAAAUCCCAAGAUUCCUCUUGGUCAGGAUGGGCAUCCAGAUAUCUCCUACUUUGCACCUGACUGCUUCCAUCCAAACCAGAAAGGUCAUGCUCAGCUUGCCAAGGCUCUCUGGAAUGCACUGUUACAACCUGUACAUCAGAAAGCUGACUCGUUUGAUCUCAUGGCUGACAUUGUCCUCAACUGUCCAACUCAGGACAAACCAUUCCUGGCAACAUACAAGAAUAGCAACUACACAUACCUACCUGUGGAGCCCACUGAUGAGCCAAUAGAGGUAAUUGUUGUAUCCUUUGCUGCGUUUUCUGUGACGUAUGCAAAGCUGUAUCUGGGGACUGUUCACACAUCAGCCUGAAUAUAUAGAUGAGAUAA